GUACAAUUUUACUGAGUAUAGAUGCUGUGAUAAAAGAGGCUUGUGAACAAGAUGUGCUUGCAGACAAGUGAUGCAGUGGUUUCCAAAUUCCUCUCUGCUUGAUGUCUGUAGUUUGUAAACUCUCACCAAAUAAGAUUUCAGUUACAAAGGUCACUCAGCAAUUUAAACUUAGGAACUUUGGACUUAGUGCGCAGGCUUAGUAGGCUAAUCAAUACAAACUUCUCUGCCCUGAGCUGCAUAAAGCUGGAGUUAGUUACACAUCUGAUUCAUGAUACGAAGGGGAGUCACAUACAAGGGGGAACACAUGGUCUUGCUGAGUGAAUCUGGACUCCUACCAGCUUUGUAUCGUAGGUGUACUUGCUGAGGUGGACACUAUCCCCUCAUCAAGGUCAUCAAUGAAGAUACUGAACAAGACCGGACCCAGCACUGACCCCUACGGAGUACUGCUAGUCACAGGUUUCCAAUUGACUCUGUGCCACCGAUCACCAUCCUCUGAGCUUUGCCAGUCAGCCAGUUCUCAACCCACCUCACCAUCUACUCAUCUAUCCCACACAUUCUCAGCUUCAUUAUCAGGAUGUCGUGGGAAACAGUAUCAAAAACCUUAUUUCAUCAAAAAUCUCUGAUGAAUACCUUGAGAACUCACUGAGAAUUGAACCAGAUAGUGAUGAAUUAGUUUCACAAAAAACUCAGAUAUUGUAUUAGUUUUAUGUUUUUGUUGCUCUUUUUUAAGUUUUAAUUAAAAAUGCAUAUAAAAAUAAGUUUUGUAACUCAUAUGAAUUAACUCCAUUAUGUAUUUUAUAUGCAACUCAAGACAGUUUCUCUCAGUGCAUCUCAGACAAGCCAAAGUUGGACACACAUGAGUUAAUGGAAAUAGGUUGCUUGGAAAGGGGAUCAGUUUGUUUCAGGACCCAUCAGUACAGAUCCCUUGAUAACCUGUAGGGUGGGUCUGGGUCUAGAGGAGAUACAUUUUCUAGUUGACACCAGAGCCUCCCAAUCCUUGUUAAAAUUUCUUCCCAGAAAGUGUGAUGGAGAUGACUCUCAGGUAUACCUUAAGUAAUUCACAGGGUCAGUGGGAGGGAUGAAAAGGUACACAUCCUUCAACCACUGUUAAUAGAUGUGGGAGAUAAAUUUGAGAUGCAUGAGUUUUUGUAUGUACCAAAUUGCAACUGUUAUCUACUGAGAAGGGAUUUAAGGGCUAAAUUGGGAAUGCAAAUAAAUAUAACCAAGGGAAAAACUGAAUCUCAUACUGUAGUAACCCUGCAUAAAUUAUUGGAAAAAGCCUGGGCAGAAGUUUACCCUAGGGUUUGGGCUACACCCAGAAAUUUUGAGAGUUUGGAAACUGAACCCCUCCAAAUUACACUGAAACAACAAAGACAAAUAGAUUCCAGGAAACAACAGCCUACCUCACAGGAAGGAAGGAAGUCAGCAAAAGGGAGUCGACAUAAGGGAGGGAGAGAGAGAGAGAGGAAGAGGGAUGAUUUAAGUACAAAGGAUGCCUUUGAGGCAAGCGCUAAGACUUAAUGACAGUGACAGAUUUGGAAGAAGCAUACAGGGAAGACCCAAAUAAGAUAGCUCAGGUGAAGAAUUGUAGGUGUCAGGUAACAAAAAAAAAAAAAAAAAAAAAAAAAAAAAAAGGUAGAUUGAAGGGAAGGGAACAAAGGGAACAAAAAUGCUGUAAUUUUGGUAGUUGUAUUAGCUCAAGCACAAACCUUAUUUGAGGAAGAGUCUUCAUGUUUUCCCCAAGAAUGAGAAGGAGAAAAUGCAGAGGAAUGAGGAAGUUAAAACUCUUACUUUAAACAGAGGCAAUGUACUGCAUGUUAAACACUUGAAACAACCAGUGAACAAAUUUUCUGUCAGCAAUUAGUGCCACAGGAAAACAAAAGGUUGGACCCUUCUUUCAAACAAUUAAGAUUAAGUGUGAAAGUGGAAAACAGAACAUUGAUUUUGUGUUAUAUGUCAUUAUUAUGUUAUUUUAUAAUGGUUAAUGCCCCUUUUUUGGAAGGGAGAAUUUCUGAAGAAAUCUCCCUUAGGAUGUAUACUGAAACACUGAAGAAAGGGGCAGGGGAAUGGGGAGAAAAGACAGAAGAUCAUCUCAUUGGAAGACUCUGCUUGGCAGAAGAUCACUGUACCUAUACUAAAGGGUUUGGGCAUUAACAAAAGGAAUAUCCUCAGGCUAAGGCUACAGCUCUUAUCCUUCAAAUGAAGGAUAAGAAUGACCAAGCUGAGGCAGACACCGUACUUGAUAAUGCAAGUUCUUGAGAUAAUAAAGUCAUUUUAUUUAGUAUAUUUUGUACAUUGGGGUCAGACAUAAGUUUAGAGGAAGAAGAACAAGUCAUAUGAAUGUGGUGAUCUCUUGGUAUUGCAGGAAAAUGGGCCUAAGUCUAUUCCAUUACACUUGAACCAAAACUUGUUUGUGAAGAGAUCAGGUUGAUAAACUUGUCUGGCCAUAUGUUUGACCAUUAAAUGUCAGCAUUCAGUUUUGAUUUAAGAGUCAUAGUGGUUUGUUUAUUUAUUUAUUUAUUUUUAAAUGAGCGUAAGCCAAAUGGUGUCAAAAGAUAAGAGGUAUUAACUUGCAGAGGAAAAGCGUUAGCCCAUGAGGACCUAAUUAUUUGUCUAUUGAAGGUGAAUUAUAAGAUCAGCUUUUCUAUAUUUUGAGAACAGCUUUACACAUAACUUGAGCAGAUAUAAGCUGAAGGACAGGAGGCUUGUGUAAAUGUAAACUCAAGAACAGAAUGCAGAGGAGGCCGCGGAGCUUCUUGUCAAGUGAAGAUAAGAAAGUAGAAUAGAUGUCCUGUUGUUGAAGAUAAACAAAACAAAAGCCAAAACAGAUACCUCAGCUCAACGUAACAUCAGUGGGAACCUGUUUGGGCUACCCCCUCUUAAAAUGUUCAAAUUUACAGCAAGAAUGAUUAUUAGUCUUCAUCCCACGACAACCAGAGAUGUUAAUUAUUUCUUGUAAUUUCUGCCCAUGUCCUUAGAAUGUAAUGCAUAUGUAUAUACUAUACCUUUAAGUAUGUAGUCACAGCUUCUCUCAGAGUGGAUGUUGGUGGAGCGAUCCCCCAUGCAUCCAGAACUGUAACAAAGGGAAUACCUGCUUGACAUAACUCAUUGGCUUGUUAAGUUACUUUGCUGGCUUUCUCAGCUUCAAAGGUGGUGAGUGUACCACAAGAAGUGGCUGUAAUAUGUGUCAAGGGACAUCAGGCAGGAUUUCUGGAGAAGAAUUUAGGUAAUUGAUUGGCAGACGAAGAAGCUCAAAGAGCUGCACUUCUACCAGAAGUAUCCAAGAUCUUCCCCCUACUCCCAGUGGUCUGGCCACGGCUGGAUAAAAUGUUUCCCACCAGAGGAGCUAGAGCUAAUAAAAAAUAGCGGAGCAGAAGAGAGAGAGAAAAAGUGGCUCACCAGGGGUGGUAAACAGUGGCUACCCAAGUCAUUGACCCUACAAGUUUUGAAACAACCUCAUGAAGGAAGCUACUGGGGCUCCAAAGGUUUAGUGGAUACCUUUAUGAUUUUUUUUGCUAUGGGUGUUUAACAUGUGCUAAAGUAUAUAAUAAACAAACAAAACAAAUGGCAAAUGGAGGCUGACCCUGGCCAGGGCGACCCUUCCAGUUGUAUGAGGCAGAUUUUACUGAGAUGCCUAGGGCUGAGUAACUUAAAUACCUCCUAGUAGUAGUAUACUAGCUUAUGGAAUGGCUGAAAGCAUUUCCCAUAGCCUCAGCAACUUCCGACUCUGUCAUAAAGACAUUCCUGUAACAAAUCAUUCCAAGGUAUGGGAUAAUAGAGGUGAUAGACUCAGAUAGAGGAACUCACUUCAUUGGAAAGGUGUUACAGGGAAUCAUGACUGUGCUAGGUAUAACAUGGGACUUUCACACCCUAUAGUGCCUUCAAAGUUCAGGAAAGGUGGAAUGAAUAAAUGGGGCAACAAAGAAGCUUCUUCUGAAACUGGUGAUGAAAACUGGCUUACCUUGGGUCAGACAAGGGUCCUUUGGCCCUGGCCAGAAUAAAAACAAAACCUAGGGAAGAUAUCGGGUUAUCCUCCUAUGAGUUGCUGUUUGGAAUGGCUUAACCAACUAACCCCCAACAUGGAGGGAGGACAGAAGUAUUUACCUAAAACAAUCACAUGGGCAAGAUACUGCUUCUUGUCAAAGCUCUUUGUCAGGAAGUUCAGCUAGCACAAAACCUAUCCUUAGACUUUGAGGUUCAUGAAAUUCAGCCUGAGGAUUUGAUUGGGGUAAAAGACCAGAAGAAAUCAUCAUCGACUCCUAAGUAGAAUGGACCUUUUCAGUUGCUACUCACUACAGAAACUGCAGUGAAAAGUCUCUAUUUCUAAUUUGGGAAAAAAUAAAAUUAAAAAAAAAAAAUUAGUCCACAUCGAGGCUUUUUACUUGUGAUGUUGAUUGGUAAGUGAGCUCCUUGUCCCAACCUUAAUCCACAGAAUUUCUAGUCUUAUUCUUCACUCCAUCCUUUUAAGGACAAAGAGUGAGAGAGCAAUUGCAUGGGCUUUGGGCUGCCGGCCAAGGUCAGCCCACUGCACCAAUAUACAGAGAGAGAGAAAGAACUUCUUAAAUCAUAGAAUCACACAGAAUCACAGAAUAGAUUGAGUUGGAAAAGACCUUUGAAGGUCAUCUAGAUUAACUCCCCUGAAAUGAUCAGGGACAUCUACACUAAAUCAGACUGCUCAGAGCACCAUCCAGCUUGAUAUGCUCAUGCAUCAUAAGUCGAAAAUAAAGAUGACGUGAUUGGUGGUAGUCAACAUGGCUUUGCCAAGGGCAAGUCACAGAAUCACAGAAUGGCCUGGGUUGGAAGGGACCUCAAGGAUCAUGAAUCUCCAACUCCCCUGCCAGGCAGGGCCACCAACCUCCCCAUUUACUAGACCAGGUUGCCCAGGGCCUCAUCUAACCUGGCCUUGAACACCUCCAGGGAUGGGGCAUACACAACCUCUCUGGGCAGCCCGUUCCAGCACCUCACCACUCUCCUGGUAAAGAACUUCCCCCUAACAUCCAACCUAAAUCUUCCCUCUUUCAACUUAAAACUGUUCCCCCUUGUCCUGCUGUUAUCUACCCUUUCAAAGAGUUUACUCUCUUCUUGUUUAUAGGCUCAACAAGUCGUGCCUGAUAAACAUGGUGGCCUUUUAUGAUGGAGCUAUAGUGUCAGUACAUAUUGGAAAAGCAACUGAUAUCACCUACUUGGACUUGAGCAAAGCACUUGAUGCUCUCUCGCAUGACAUUCUGGUCACAAAAUUGAAGAAAAAUGGAUUUGUUGGAUGGACCAAUCACUGAAUAAGGAAUUGACUGGAUGGUCACACUCAGAGACGUGUGGUCAGUGACUUUACAUCCAAGUAGAAACCAGUGAUGAAUGGUAUUCCUUGGGGACUCCUGCUGGGACUAGUGUUUUUUAACAUCUUUGCUGGUGAUAUGGACAGUGGGAUCAAGUACACUCUCAGUAAGUCUGCAGAUGACACCAAACUGAGUGGUGCAGUUGACACACUAGAGGGAAGGGAUGACAUCCAGAGGGACCUGGACAGGCUUGAGAGGUGGGCCCACGUCAACUGUGUUAACUUCAACAAUGCCAAAUAGAAGGUACUGCUCCUGGGUUGGGGCAAUCCUAAGCACAAAUAUAGGUUGAGUGGAGAAUGGGUUGAGAGUAGCCCUGAGCAGAAGGAUUUUGGUAAGGGUGUUGGUAAAUGAGAGAAUCAGUUUAAGUCAGCAAUGUGCACUUGCAGCCCAGAAGGCCAACCAUAUGCUGGUUUGCAUCAAAAGAAGUAUGACCAGCAGGCUGAAGGAGGUUGCUCUGCCCAUCUACUCUGCUCUCAUGAGACCCCACCUGGAGUACUGCAUCCAGUACUGAGUCCUCCAAAACAAGAAGGACAUUGAGCUAUUUGAGUAGGUCCAGAGGAGGGCCAUGAAGAUGAUCAGAGGUCUGAAGUACCUCUCUUAUGGAGACAGGCUGACAGAAGUGGGGCUCUUCUCAGCCUGGAGAAGAGAAGACUCUAGGGGGAAUCUUGUAGAAGCCUUCCAGAACCGGAAGGGUGCAUAAGGGAAAAUAAGGGAGGGACUUUUUGUAAGGGCAUGUAGUUACAGGACAAGGGGAAAUGGCUUUUAACUAGAAGAGAGUGAACAUUAGGAAUAAAUUCAUUACAGUGAAGGUGAUGAGACACUGGAACAGGCUACUGAGAGAAGUUGUGAAUAUCACCACCCUGAAGAUGUUCAGUGCCAGGCUGGAUGGAGCUUUGAACAUCCUGGUCUAGUGGUAUAUGUCCCUGCCUGUAGCAGAGGAGUUGGAACUAGAUCUUAAAAGUCCUAGCUUUAAACUAGGUUUGAAGAUCAAAGGAGAUUAAACCAGAAUCACUAGAGAUGAGACUAGGUGCAGCAUUCCAGGGUCAGGAAGUAGACUGUUAGACAAGAUGAAGUGUAUCUAUACUAAUGAACACAGCAUGGGCAACAAACAGAAGAAACUAGAAGUCACUGUGUGACAGGAAAACUAUGACUUAGUCACUGUCAUCUAAACGUGGUGGGAACAUCCUCAUGACUUUGCUGCAAUGGAGCAAAGCUAUUUAGAGAGGAUAGUCAAGGCAAGAGGGGUAAUGGGAUGGCACUCUAGAAUUUUGAUGUUGUGGAGCCCAAUAUUGGGAAUGAUAAUGUCAAGCGCUCAUAGGAUAAGGGAAAGGCCAAUUAUGCUGAUAUCCUUGUGAGAGUCUGAUACAAACCACAUAAGCAGGAUGAAGAGAUAGAUGGAAUGUUCUUUAAACGUCUGGCAUCACUCAUGCAAUUCGUAGCCCUUGAUCUCAUAGGGGACUUCAACUUACCUGAUGUCUGCUGGAAUUGCAGUAUAGCAGAGAAGAAGCAGUCUAGGAGGUCCCUGGAGUGUGUGGAAGACAACUUCCUGACACAGCUGUUAGGACAGCAUACAAGGGAAAGCACUCCUUAAGAGUUGCUGUUUACAGACAGAGAAGGAAUGUUGGAAAAUGUGGCUGAAAUCUGUCUUGGGUACAGCAACCACAAAAUGGUAGAGUUCUCUAUCUCUGGUGAAAUCAGGAGGGGGGGUCAGCAAAACUGCUACCCUGAACUUCCAGAGGUUAAACUCUGAACUGUUUAAAUCGUUGGUUGGCAGAAUUUCUUGGGAGUCAGUUCUGAUUGCAAAAGGGCCCAGGGAGUCUAGACUUUCCUCAAGAAAGAAACUUCAAAGACACAAAAACAGGCUGUCCCACUGUGCUAUAUGAUGAUCUAGCAGGGAAGAGAACCAGCCUGACUGAACAGGAAGUUUUUGCUGAGACACUCACAAAAAAGGAGAAUUGAUGAUAUUUGCAAGAAGAGUCAGGCAACUCAAGAAGAGUAUAAGAAUGCCCUCAAGGCAUGCAAAGAGAAAAUCAGAAAAGCAAAAGCCCAGCAAGAAUCUAAUCUGGCCUCCAUUGUUAAUAGUAAAAAUAUGCUUUUACAAAUAUAUUAACAGCAAGAGGAGGGCCAAGGAGAAUCUGCAUCCUUUAACAGAUGCAGCAGGGAACAUUAUCUCCAAGGAUGAUGGAAAAGAUGAGGUUCUCAAUGACUUCUUUACUUGUGUCUUUUAUAGUCAGGCCCGUUAGCUUCAGGGUACUCAGCUCCCUGGCAGACAGGAAUGAGGAGGAAACAGUGACUUACUACUCCACCUGGACAGUGACAUCCAUGGGACUGGAAAAGAUCCAUUCUAGGGUACUGAAGGAGCUUGCAGAAGUGAUUGCCAAGCCACUUUCUAUCAUUUAGAAGCAGUACUGGUCAAGCAGGGAGAACCCAGACAACUGGAGACUUUCUAAAGUGACAAUGAUCUACAUGAAGGACUGGAAAGAGGAACCAGGGAACUACAGGCCUGUAGUUCUUGUUCUUGAAGACACUUUCCUAGGGGGCUUUAUCAAGUAUCUCCCUGACGAGAUGGAAGUUAGCUUUCCUAAAAAUUAUCAUCCUGAUUUUACUCCUUGUCUCAUAUCACUGAAGAGUGUAAAAUUCACUAUUGCAUGACUGCUAUGGCCCAGGUAAUCUCCACUCUUGAUGUUACCAAGCAGUUCACUUGAGUUGGUGAGCAGCAGGGCCAUUUAUGCAUCCCGCUGGUAGGGUUGUCUAUCAUUUGGCUUAUUAAUUUAUCCUUAAUGCAUUCUGGGAUCCUACUGGAUUACCUACAGCUCAUUGUGUUAAUUUUCCAGCAGAUGUCAGGGUGUUUGAAGUCCCCCAGAAAGACAAGAGCCUGCAAACUCAAUGCCUGCUGUAGCUGGAGAAAGAAGGUAUCAUUGGCAGGCUCCGCUUGAUCAGGUGGCCUGCAGUCACCACCAACCACAAGGUUCCUUUUGUUGCUGUGGUUUCUAACUUUCACUCAUAAGCUUACAAUUUUCUCAUGGUCAUUCUUCAGGGACAGCUCUUCACUCCCUAUUCCCCUCUCAGUGUAGAGGACAAUUCUUCCUCCCCUCCUUCCUCACCUUUCCCUUCCAAACAGAUUGUGUCUGUCCAUAGCCCAUUCCAGUUAUGGGAGUCAUCCCACCAGGAUUCAGUGACAGAAACUACAUUGUGGUUUUCUAGAUGUACAGUGGCUUCCAGCUCCUCCUGUUUGUCUCCCAAGUGGUUUGUGUUGGUGGAGAGGCACUUCAGCUGGGCAGACAGGCUUGUUACCUUCUUGGGGGAUAACUAUUUCCUUUGAAGACCAAGGAGAGUUUUCCCCCUCUGAUAAAUGAGGACAGAGAACUGGCUUCCUCAGACAUGGAAAAAGCCAAAGUGCUCAAUAAGUGCUUUGCCUCAGUCUUCACUGAUGGUAAGGCUCCCCAUAUCUGUCAGGACCCUGAGCCACUAGCUGUGGGUGAGAGGACUGGAUUCCAUCCCACUUUAACAGUGGAACAAGCCAGAGACAACCUAAUGAAGCUGAAUGUAUGUAAGUCCAUGGGACCGGAUGAUAUCCGUCCCAAGGUUCUGAGAGAGAGGGCUGAUGUGGUUGCCAAGUCACACUUCAUAAUAUUUGAAAAAUCAUGGCUGUCAGUUGAAAUCCCCAGCGACUGGAAAAAGGAAAACAUUGAUCCCAUUUUUAAGAAGGGAGAAAAAAUGACCCAGAGAACAGCAGGCCAGUGAGCCUCAACUAGCCUGGGAAGAUCAUGGAGCAGAUUCUUCUGGUUACCAUGUUAAGGUACAUGUGAGAUGAGGAAGUGAUCUGAGACAGCCAGCAUGGCUUCAACAAGGGCAGAUCUUGCCUGACCAAUCUGGUAGCCUUCUAUGAUGGAGUGACGACACCAGUGGACAAGGGAAGGGCAGUGGACAUCAUCCACCUGGACUUCUGCAAGGCCUUUGACAUGCUCCCUCAUCACAUUCUUCUCUCUAAAUUGGAGAGAUACGGAUUUGAAAGAUGAACUGUUUGGUGGAUUAGGAACUGGUUGGCUGGAUGCAGCCAAUGCAGUGUUGUGAUUAAUGGUUCUCUGUCACAGUGGAGGCUGGUCAUGUAUGGUGUCACCCAAGGCUUGGUCUUGGGACUAGUGCUCUUCAACAUCUUCAUCAAUGACAUAAACGAUGAAACCAAGUGCAUCCUCAGAAAGUCUGCAGAUGACACAAGCUGAGCGGUGCAGUUGAUACCCUGGAAAGAAAGGAAGCCAUCCAGAGGGGCCUGGACAGGCUGGAGAAUUGGGUCUACGAAAACCUAAUGAGGUUCAAUAAGGCCAAGUGCAAGGUGUUGCACAUGGGUUGGGGCAAUCCCAAGUAUUUAUACAAAGUGGGGGAAGACUUCCUGGAGAACAGCCCUGCAGAGAAGGACUUGGGGGUCCUGGUAGACGAGAAGCUGGACAUGAGCCAGCAGUGUGCACUUGCAGCCCAGAAGGCCAACUGUGUUCUGGGCUGUAUUAAAAGAGGAGUGGCCAGAAGGGAGGGGGUGGUGAUUGUCCCCCUCUACUCGACUCUUGUGAGACCCCAUCUGGAGUACUGCAUCCAGGCCUGGGGCCCCCAGUACAGGAAGGAUGUGGAGCUCUUGGGGCAGGUCCAGAGGAGGGCCACAAAGAUGAUCAGAGAGCUGGAGCACCUCUCCUAUGAGGAAAGGUUGAGGGAACUGGGACUUUUUAGCAGGGAGAAGAGAAGACUCAGGGGAGAUCUCUUUGUGGGUUUCCAGUACUUGGAGGGAACAUAUAAACAGAAGUGGGAAUGACUGUUUUCAUGGGCUGAUAGUGAUAGGACAAGGGGGAAUGGUCUUAAACUGAGACAGGGAAGGUUUAGAUUAGAUAUUAGGAAGAAGUUUUUCACUCAGCGGGCUGUGAUGAACUGGACCAGGUUGCCCAGAGUAGUUGUGGAUGCCCAAUCCCUGGAGGCAUGCAAGGCCAGGCUAGACAUAGCAGCUGGGAUUAUGGCAGUAGAAACAGAACCUCCCCACCACUAUUUCAUAAACAUUUAUAGCCACGUGACAGAUGGCAGUAGAGAGGAUGUCUAACAAAACGGUUCAAGAAACAGAAGUGCAAAAGAAGAAAAGAUGAAUACAGAAUAAAAAAAGAAACAAAAAAAAUCUAUUGUAGUUCAAUGAAAAUAAAAUUGAAUUACGUGAGACCAAAACACUGAGAAAAAGGAUGGUACAAAUAAGAGGUGAAAACGGCAAAAGCGAAAAAACUCUACAGAUAAAAGAAAUACAGGAAAAUAAU
ensembl:lncRNA